rnacentral:rRNA from 1 species
UGGCGGCAUGCCUUACACAUGCAAGUCGAAGGCAGGCACGGGAGCUUGCUCCUGGUGGCGAGUGGCGAACGGGUGAGUAAUAUAUCGGAACUGCCCAGUCGUGGGGAUAACGUAGCGAAAGCUACGCUAAUACCGCAUACGAUCUAUGGAUGAAAGCGGGGGAUCGCAAGACCUCGCGCGAUUGGAGCGGCCGAUAUCAGAUUAGGUAGUUGGUGAGGUAAAGGCUCACCAAGCCGACGAUCUGUAGCUGGUCUGAGAGGACGACCAGCCACACUGGGACUGAGACACGGCCCAGACUCCUACGGGAGGCAGCAGUGGGGAAUUUUGGACAAUGGGCGCAAGCCUGAUCCAGCAAUGCCGCGUGCAGGAUGAAGGCCUUCGGGUUGUAAACUGCUUUGUACGGAACGAAACGGUGAGCUCUAAUACAGUUUGCUAAUGACGGUACCGUAAGAAUAAGCACCGGCUAACUACGUG